rnacentral:rRNA from 1 species
AUUUUCCGGUUGAUCCCGCCGGACCCGACUGCUAUCAGAGUGGGACUAAGCCAUGCGAGUCAACAUAGCAAUAUGUGGCAUACGGCUCAGUAACACGUAGUCAACAUGCCCAGGGGACGUGGAUAACCUCGGGAAACUGAGGAUAAACCGCGAUAGGUCAUCACUUCUGGAAUGGGUAAUGACUUAAAUCUACAUGGCCCCUGGAUUGGACUGCGGCCGAUCAGGCUGUUGGUGAGGUAAUGGCCCACCAAACCUGUAACCGGUACGGGCUCUGAGAGGAGGAGCCCGGAGAUGGGCACUGAGACAAGGGCCCAGGCCCUAUGGGGCGCAGCAGGCGCGAAACCUCUGCAAUAGGCGAAAGCUUGACAGGGUUACUCUGAGUGAUUUCCGUUAAGGAGAUCUUUUGGCACCUCUAAAAAUGGUGCAGAAUAAGGGGUGGGCAAGUCUGGUGUCAGCCGCCGCGGUAAUACCAGCACCCCGAGUGGUCGGGACGUUUAUUGGGCCUAAAGCAUCCGUAGCCGGUUCUACAAGUCUUCCGUUAAAUCCACCUGCUUAACAGAUGGGCUGCGGAAGAUACUAUAGAGCUAGGAGGCGGGAGAGGCAAGCGGUACUCGAUGGGUAGGGGUAAAAUCCGUUGAUCCAUUGAAGACCACCAGUGGCGAAGGCGGCUUGCCAGAACGCGCUCGACGGUGAGGGAUGAAAGCUGGGGGAGCAAACCGGAUUAGAUACCCGGGUAGUCCCAGCUGUAAACGAUGCAGACUCGGUGAUGAGUUGGCUUAUUGCUAACUCAGUGCCGCAGGGAAGCCGUUAAGUUUGCCGCCUG